UUUUUUUCUUUUUUUCCCCCUUUUUCCUGGUUCCCUUUCUAGGACGUUCAAGGAGAUGAAUUCUGCCCGAUUUUUUUCUGGAUUUUCUCCAAAUUCCAUUCAAAAAUCAAGGACAAAAGGCUACAAAAACUCAGAAACUCAAGGCUCGGCGAAGGUCGAGUCAUCAGAGAUCAUCGGCAAGGCAGAAGUCAGGAAGACCAGUGAUGGACUCGGUAGAAUGGAUGAUCUUGGGAUCUUGGAUGGCUGACCUUAGGGUCUUGGAUGGCUCACCAAACACUCUACAGCCUUGCUUUGUGGCCAUUGCAGCAAUUUGUUCUCAUUCGCUUACUCAGCUGGGGGAAAUCUUCACAUGCUUGGGGUAGACAUCCCCCUAACUGGCCACCAACUUUGAGGUGUCCCUCAGCCUGAUUUAGCCCAGAUAGUAUACCGGCAUUGAGCGGGCUACGGCUUCAGUGCUGAAUGCCAGAUGGACACCAAAGAUGGACGAAUCCUCACACUGAGGGGUUCUGGUCUUUCCUGAACAGCCCACAUGCGGAGUUCCUCAAUACAACCCUUUCACUUUACAGGUAACAAAACAGAGAGAAAUUGUGCUUUAUCCAGGAUGGUUCACAAAGUAAAGCACAUGAGGGAGGGAUUUGUAUUUUGAUCUUCCUGACUCCAAGCAUAAUAUUUUAUUCCCUGGAUCACUUAGCUGUUUCUUAUCUUAAAGUGGUUUCUACUUUUCAGCUUUUUCCUUGGAAAGAAGCAGUCCAAUAUAAACAAGAAUCCUGCAGUCGGUUUUACCCAAACACCCAAGGACUCAGUGGAACUCUCUGAAUCAAUUGGUUCUACGGGGGUGAAUUGAUGCCUUCAGCAAUAAUCUUUAAUGAGAUUGUUUACAUCAUUAGGGAGCACUGAUUUCUACUCAAUUAUAUUGACAGUACUGAGACCUCAGGGAUGCAAAAAAAAAAAAAAAAAAAAA